rnacentral:rRNA from 1 species
GAUGAACGCUGGCGGCGUGCCUAAUACAUGCAAGUCGAGCGAACAGACGAGGAGCUUGCUCCUCUGACGUUAGCGGCGGACGGGUGAGUAACACGUGGAUAACCUACCUAUCAGACUGGGAUAACUUCGGGAAACCGGAGCUAAUACCGGAUAAUAUAUUGAACCGCAUGGUUCAAUAGUGAAAGACGGUUUUGCUGUCACUUAUAGAUGGAUCCGCGCCGCAUUAGCUAGUUGGGAAGGUAACGGCUUACCAAGGCGACGAUGCGUAGCCGACCUGAGAGGGUGAUCGGACACACUGGAACUGAGACACGGUCCAGACUCCUACGGGAGGCAGCAGUAGGGAAUCUUCCGCAAUGGGCGAAAGCCUGACGGAGCAACGCCGCGUGAGUGAUGAAGGUCUUCGGAUCGUAAAACUCUGUUAUUAGGGAAGAACAAAUGUGUAAGUAACUAUGCACGUCUUGACGGUACCUAAUCAGAAAGCCACGGCUAACUACGUG